rnacentral:rRNA from 1 species
CGGUAAUACGUAGGGCGCAAGCGUUGUAUCGAUUCACUGAACGUAAAGGGUGCGCAGGCGGGAAUGCAAGUCAGGGGUGAGACUUACGGCUUAACCGUGAAACUGCCUUUGAUACUGCAUUUCUUGAGUCAGGGAGAGGUUGAUGGAAUUCCAGGUGUAGCGGUGAAAUGCGUAGAUAUCUGGAAGAACACCGGUGGCGAAGGCGGUCAACUGGCCCUGAACUGACGCUCAGGCACGAAAGCGUGGGGAUCAAACUGGAUUAGAUACCUUGGUAGUCCACGCCCUAAACGAUGAAUACUUGGUGUUGGCCCAUAUGGGUCAGUGCCGAAGGAAACCUGAUAAGUAUUAGGUUCAUGGGUUACGCUCGCAAGGGUGAA